rnacentral:rRNA from 1 species
CCUACGAUGGGCAGCAGUGGGGGAUAUUGCACAAUGGGGGAAACCCUGAUGCAGCGACGCCGCGUGGGUGAAGAAGCGCCUCGGCGCGUAAAGCCCUGUCAGCAGGGAAGAAAAUGACGGUACCUGAAGAAUAAGCCCCGGCUAACUACGUGCCAGCAGCCGCGGUAAUCCGGAGGGGGCAAGCGUUAUCCGGAUUUACUGGGUGGAAAGGUGGCGCAGACGGCGAUGCAAGCCAGGAGUGAAAGCCCGGGGCCCAACCCCGGGACUGCUCUUGGAACUGCGUGGCUAGAGUGCAGGAGGGGCAGGCGGAAUGCCUGGUGUAGGGGUGAAAUGCGGAGAUAGCAGGAGGAACACCGGUGGCGAAGGCGGCCUGCUGGACUGCAACUGACGUUGAGGCCCGAAAGCGUGGGGAGCAAACAGGAUUAGAUACCCGAGUAGUC